CGGACGGGUGAGUAAUGUCUGGGAAACUGCCUGAUGGAGGGGGAUAACUACUGGAAACGGUAGCUAAUACCGCAUAACGUCGCAAGACCAAAGAGGGGGACCUUCGGGCCUCUUGCCAUCGGAUGUGCCCAGAUGGGAUUAGCUAGUAGGUGGGGUAACGGCUCACCAAGGCGACGAUCCCUAGCUGGUCUGAGAGGAUGACCAGCCACACUGGAACUGAGACACGGUCCAG
rnacentral:rRNA from 1 species